AGACGUCUACAUUUAGAUACCCCCUGUAGUCCCAGCCGUAAACUAUGCGCGUUAGGUGUAUCGGUGACCACGAGUUACCGAGGUGCCGAAGGGAAACCGUGAAACGUGCCGCCUGGGAAGUACGGUCGCAAGGCUGAAACUUAAAGGAAUUGGCGGGGAGCACCACAACGGGUGGAGCCUGCGGUUUAAUUGGACUCAACGCCGGGAAGCUCACCGGAUAAGACAGCGGAAUGAUUGCCGGGCUGAAGACUCUGCAUGACUAGCUG
rnacentral:rRNA from 1 species